rnacentral:misc_RNA from 1 species
AAAAAAACACACCUAUGACACCUUUAAGGAGGUUCUUGGAUCAGGGAUGCAGUACCACUUGCAGUCAAAUGAAUUCCUUCGAAAUGUAUUUGAACUUGGACCCCCAGUGAUGCUUGAUGCUGCAACGCUUAAAACGAUGAAGAUUUCUCGUUUCGAAAGGCAUUUAUAUAACUCUGCAGCCUUCAAAGCUCGAACCAAAGCUAGAAGCAAAUGUCGA